UUUUAAGGCCCUUUUUUUUUUUUUUUUUUUUUUUUUUCAUCUUUCUUUCACCAUCUUUGUUCCGUCGCGCGGUGGCAAACGAACUGCGUGUCGCGUGCCGGUAAAAACGGUGUCCUUAGAAAGAGAAAAAAAAAAAAAAAAAAAAUGAAUUGUCGGGAAAC
rnacentral:miRNA from 1 species